rnacentral:rRNA from 1 species
GGCGGCGUGCUUAACACAUGCAAGUCGAGCGGAAAGGCCCUUCGGGGGUACUCGAGCGGCGAACGGGUGAGUAACACGUGAGCAACCUGCCCCUGACUCUGGGAUAAGCCCGGGAAACUGGGUCUAAUACCGGAUAUGACCACUCCACGCAUGCUGGUGGUGGUGGAAAGUUUUUCGGUUGGGGAUGGGCUCGCGGCCUAUCAGCUUGUUGGUGGGGUGAUGGCCUACCAAGGCGACGACGGGUAACCGGCCUGAGAGGGCGACCGGUCACACUGGGACUGAGACACGGCCCAGACUCCUACGGGAGGCAGCAGUGGGGAAUAUUGCGCAAUGGGCGGAAGCCUGAGCCAGCGACGCCGCGUGGGGGAUGACGGCCUUCGGGUUGUAAACCUCUUUCAGCAGGGACGAAGCUAACGUGACCGUACCUGCAGAAGAAGCGCCCGCUAACUACGUGCCAGCAGCCGCGGUAAUACGUAGGGCGCAAGCGUUGUCCGGAAUUAUUGGGCGUAAAGAGCUCGUAAGCGGUUUGUCGCGUCUGUCGUGAAAGCCACGGCUUAACCGUGGGUCUGCGGUGGAUACGGGCAGACUAGAGGCAGGUAGGGGAGAAUGGAAUUCCCGGUGUAGCGGUGAAAUGCGCAGAUAUCGGGAGGAACACCGGUGGCGAAGGCGGUUCUCUGGGCCUGUACUGACGCUGAGGAGCGAAAGCGUGGGGAGCGAACAGGAUUAGAUACCCUGGUAGUCCACGCCGUAAACGUUGGGCGCUAGGUGUGGGGUCCUUCCACGGAUUCCGCGCCGCAGCUAACGCAUUAAGCGCCCCGCCUGGGGAGUACGGCCGC